AUAUAAUUAAGCGGAGGAAUAGAAACCAACAGGGAUUCCCCCAAUAGCGGCGAGCGAAAAGGGAACAGCCCGAGAUGUGAAUCGAAGUGGCUUGCUGCUUCGAGUUGUGCAUCAUGGUCUUUACCAGCAAGUUUGGACGUCUAAGGUGCCUGGAAAGGCACGCCACAGAAGGUGAUAGCCCUGUCUUUGGCGUUCAAAGCUUACGUACGGUACUGAUCAAUUGAGUCACGCUCUUUGGGAGUAGAGCGCAAACAGGGUGGUAACCUCCAUCCAUGGCUAAAUAUUGACAAGAGACCGAUAGCGCACAAGUA
rnacentral:rRNA from 1 species